rfam:Gossypium hirsutum cultivar TM-1 chromosome 17, whole genome shotgun sequence
ACAAAAGCAGGGUCUUGUUGCCAUUUUCGAACAAGGCUCUCGUAAACUUCAGGGAGAUUACUCGCAUUAUUAUUGGGUGAACCUCUGGAUUUUCUCGGUAACUUAAGGUUCAGUAAAUGAUGCAACAUUU